GCCGUCUCCGAAUGCCCUAGAUUAAGUUGAUCAUGGCUCAGAGCGAACGCGNUAGGUAGGCCUAACACAUGCAAGUCGAACGGCAGCACAGAGGAGCUUGCUCCUUGGGUGGCGAGUGGCGGACGGGUGAGGAAUACAUCGGAAUCUACUCUGUCGUGGGGGAUAACGUAGGAAACUUACGCUAAUACCGCAUACGACCUACGGGUGAAAGCAGGGGAUCUUCGGACCUUGCGCGAUUGAAUGAGCCGAUGUCGGAUUAGCUAGUUGGCGGGGUAAAGGCCCACCAAGGCGACGAUCCGUAGCUGGUCUGAGAGGAUGAUCAGCCACACUGGAACUGAGACACGGUCCAGACUCCUACGGGAGGCAGCAGUGGGGAAUAUUGGACAAUGGGCGCAAGCCUGAUCCAGCCAUACCGCGUGGGUGAAGAAGGCCUUCGGGUUGUAAAGCCCUUUUGUUGGGAAAGAAAUCCAGCUGGCUAAUACCCGGUUGGGAUGACGGUACCCAAAGAAUAAGCACCGGCUAACUUCGUGCCAGCAGCCGCGGUAAUACGAAGAGGUGCAAGCGUUACUCGGAAUUACUGGGCGUAAAGCGUGCGUACGUGGUCCGUUUAAGGUCCCGUUGUGAAAAGCCCUGGGCUCAACCUGGGAACUGCAGUGGAUACUGGGGCCGACUAGAAAUGUUGGUUCAC
rnacentral:rRNA from 1 species